AUUGAACGCUGGCGGCAUGCUUUGCACAUGCAAGUCGAACGGUAACAGGCCGCAAGGUGCUGACGAGUGGCGAACGGGUGAGUAAUGCAUCGGAACGUGCCCAGUCGUGGGGGAUAACGCAGCGAAAGCUGCGCUAAUACCGCAUACGAUCUAUGGAUGAAAGCGGGGGACCGUAAGGCCUCGCGCGAUGGGAGCGGCCGAUGUCAGAUUAGGUAGUUGGUGGGGUAAAGGCUCACCAAGCCAACGAUCUGUAGCUGGUCUGAGAGGACGACCAGCCACACUGGGACUGAGACACGGCCCAGACUCCUACGGGAGGCAGCAGUGGGGAAUUUUGGACAAUGGGCGCAAGCCUGAUCCAGCAAUGCCGCGUGCAGGAAGAAGGCCUUCGGGUUGUAAACUGCUUUUGUACGGAACGAAACGGUCCUGGUUAAUACCUGGGGCUAAUGACGGUACCGUAAGAAUAAGCACCGGCUAACUACGUGCCAGCCGCCGCAGUAAAAC
rnacentral:rRNA from 1 species